GACGAACGCUGGCGGCGUGCCUAAUACAUGCAAGUUGAGCGCUGAAGGUUGGUACUUGUACCAACUGGAUGAGCAGCGAACGGGUGAGUAACGCGUGGGGAAUCUGCCUUUGAGCGGGGGACAACAUUUGGAAACGAAUGCUAAUACCGCAUAAAAACUUUAAACACAAGUUUUAAGUUUGAGAGAUGCAAUUGCAUCACUCAAAGAUGAUCCCGCGUUGUAUUAGCUAGUUGGUGAGGUAAAGGCUCACCAAGGCGAUGAUACAUAGCCGACCUGACAGGGUGAUCGGCCACAUUGGGACUGAGACACGGCCCAAACUCCUACGGGAGGCAGCAGUAGGGAAUCUUCGGCAAUGGACGAAAGUCUGACCGAGCAACGCCGCGUGAGUGAAGAAGGUUUUCGGAUCGUAAAACUCUGUUGGUAGAGAAGAACGUUGGUGAGAGUGGAAAGCUCAUCAAGUGACGGUAACUACCCAGAAAGGGACGGCUAACUACGUG
rnacentral:rRNA from 1 species